GUAAUUUGCAGAGGGAGCUUUUGGCGUCGGUCGUGGUCUAAGUUCCUUGGAACAGGACGUCACAGAGGGUGAGAAUCCCGUACGUGGCCGCCGGCCUUCGCCUUGUAAAGCCCCUUCGACGAGUCGAGUUGUUUGGGAAUGCAGCUCUAAAUGGGAGGUAAAUUCCUUCUAAAGCUAAAUACCCGCCAGAGACCGAUAGCGCACAAGUAGAGUGAUCGAAAGAUGAAAAGCACUUUGGAAAGAGAGUGAAAAAGCACGUGAAAUUGUUGAAAGGGAAGCGCUUGCGGCUAGACGUGCCCGCGGUUGAUCAUCCAGGCUCCGGCCUGGUGCACUCCUCCGCGGGCAGGCCAGCAUCAGUUCGGGCGGUCGGAUAAAGGCCUCUGUCACGUACCACCCCUCGGGGUGGCCUUAUAGGGGAGGCGCAACACGGCCAGCCCGGACUGAGGUUCCGCGCAUCUGCUAGGAUGCUGGCGUAAUAGCAGCAAGCGGCCCGUCUUGAAACACGGACCAAGGAGUCUAACAUCUAUGCGAGUGUUUGGGUGUCAAGCCCGAGCGCGCAAUGAAAGUGAACGGAGGUGGGAACCCUCACGGGUGCACCAUCGACCGAUCCUGAUGUCUUCGGAUGGAUUUGAGUAAGAGCAUAGCUGUUGGGACCCGAAAGAUGGUGAACUAUGCCUGAAUAGGGUGAAGCCAGAGGAAACUCUGGUGGAGGCUCGCAGCGGUUCUGACGUGCAAAUCGAUCGUCAAAUUUGGGCAUAGGGGCGAAAGACUAAUCG
rnacentral:rRNA from 1 species